UACGAAGGGGGCUAGCGUUGUUCGGAUUUACUGGGCGUAAAGCGCACGUAGGUGGUUUGUUAAGUCAGAGGUGAAAUCCCGGAGCUCAACUCCGGAACUGCCUUUGAUACUGGCAAGCUAGAGUCCGGAAGAGGUAAGUGGAACUCCUAGUGUAGAGGUGGAAUUCGUAGAUAUUAGGAAGAACACCAGUGGCGAAGGCGGCUUACUGGUCCGGAACUGACGCUGAGGUGCGAAAGCGUGGGGAGCAAACAGG
rnacentral:rRNA from 1 species